rnacentral:rRNA from 1 species
AUUGAACGCUGGCGGCAUGCCUUACACAUGCAAGUCGAACGGCAGCGGGGGAGAAGCUUGCUUUUCCUGCCGGCGAGUGGCGAACGGGUGAGUAAUACAUCGGAACGUGCCCUGUAGUGGGGGAUAACUAGUCGAAAGAUUAGCUAAUACCGCAUACGACCUGAGGGUGAAAGUGGGGGUCCGCAAGGCCUCAUGCUAUAGGAGCGGCCGAUGUCUGAUUAGCUAGUUGGUGGGGUAAAGGCCUACCAAGGCGACGAUCAGUAGCUGGUCUGGGAGGACGAUCAGCCACACUGGGACGGAGACACGGCCCAGACUCCUACGGGAGGCAGCAGUGGGGAAUUUUGGGCAAUGGGCGAAAGCCUGAUCCAGCAAUGCCGCGUGUGUGAAGAAGGCCUUCGGGUUGUAAAGCACUUUUGUCCGGAAAGAAAUGGCUCUGGUUAAUACCUGGGGUCGAUGACGGUACCGGAAGAAUAAGGACCGGCUAACUACGUGCCAGCAGCCGCCGUAAUAC